AAAGAUUAAGCCAUGCAUGUCUAAGUAUAAACGAUCUAAUCGUGAAACCGCGAAUGGCACAUUAUAACAGCUAAAAUCUACUUGAUCUUGACACAAUCCUACUUGGAUAACUGUGGUAAUUCUAGAGCUAAUACAUGCAUUAAAGCUCUGACCUCACGGGAAGAGUGCACUUAUUAGAACAAAACCAAGCGGCUUCGGCUGUUUCUGGUUGACUCAUAGUAACUGAGCUGAUCGCACGGUCUUGCACCGGCGACGUGUCUUUCGAGUAUCUGCCGUGUCAACUUUCGAUGGUAGUGUAUCUGACUACCAUGGUGAUCACGCGUAACGGAGAAUAAGGGUUCGACUCCGGAGAAGGGGCCUGAGAAAUGGCCACUACGUCUAAGGAUGGCAGCAGGCGCGCAAAUUACCCACUCCCAGAAUGAGGAGGUAGUGACGAGAAAUAACGAGACCGUUCUCUACGAGGCCGGUCAUCGGAAUGGGUACAAUUUAAACCCUUUAACGAGUAUCUAUGAGAGGGCAAGUCUGGUGCCAGCAGCCGCGGUAAUUCCAGCUCUCAAAAUGCAUAGAAUUAUUGCCGCGGUUAAAAAGCUCGUAGUUGGAUCUGUGCCGGCGGACUCGGUCCACUCGCAAGGGUGCGCACUGGGCUCCCCGGCUUUCUGCCGGUUUUCCCGUCGUGGCCUUAAUUGGUUGCGGCGGGUGGCUGGCGAUUUUACUUUGAACAAAUCAGAGUGCUUAAAACAGGCGUUUCGCUUGAAUGUUCGUGCAUGGAAUAAUAGAAAAGGAUUUCGGUUCUAUUUUAUUGGCUUUAUAGACUGAGAUAAUGGUUAACAGAGACAAACGGGGGCACUCGUAUUGCUGCGUGAGAGGUGAAAUUCUUGGACCGCAGCAAGACGAACUACAGCGAAAGCAUUUGCCAAGAAUG
rnacentral:rRNA from 1 species